UCACGGGCUGUCUUCACUGGCAGAGUCGUAAUUGCCACUAGAAAUAAAUGAUUUCAGUGGGCAGUACACUUGCAGGUUGAUCCUGACAUUUUUGAAAAGAUCACAGUUCUGUGUUUGCACAUGCAGAACUUUAAGGAGUCAUUAUGCCUUUCACUCUCGAGAAGGAUCUUGCUCAACUUUCAGCCACCACAGACAGGCUGAAAUGGAUCUUCCUCUUCCUCCGGCUUUCACAACACAUGGACUGAAAGGUCAGGCCACCAGGUUGGUUCCUCCUGCUGACCAGGUACAAAUCCAGCCUCUCUGGAGACAUCUGGCAUCAUCUUACUUCAGCACUGUCUCUCCCUUGUCCUUUGCGUCAUAAUUUACCAACACUGGAGCUUAUUCUCAAUAUUUUCUUCCCCUGUCCUGUCAUCAACACUUAUACUGAAUCAACACCCGUUGUGCGGUUUUGGUACAAAAGAGAAAAUCCGAAAUGUGCAUUGUGAAGAUUUGAAGACUGGGGAUGGGAUUCAGCAGAGCUCUCAGCAUUUGUGAAGGUCCACCUCAAGAUGGCAGUGUUCACCACGGCAGGCUAAUCAGCCUUUCAGAGCUCAGCAGCCUGUCCUCUCUCAGCAGCUGCUGCAGCAGCAGAAGCAGCAGCACAGGAAGAGGUGGAGAGAGAGAGAGAGAGAUGUGGAUGAAAUUGAGGGUUAUCUACAGCAGUGAAAUUAAGUAAUGACUAGAUGGCAGUGCACAUGAUGCUCACGCUCUGAUUUCCAUUUUAUUAAACGUGCUGUUUUCUCGGUA